rnacentral:tRNA from 1 species
AAAGAUUUAGUUAAACUAUAACAUUAACUUGUCAUAUUAAAAUUAUCAGCUGAUAGUCUUUA